AGGACAGCAUCUAACGAGCCCAGUUUCUAGCCUCAGUACACAGAGGACCCGUUCUACCUCAGUACAGAGACCCAUUCUAUCCUCAGUACCAGAGACCCAGUUCUACUAGCCUCAUACCAGAGACCAGUUCUAGCCUCACGUACCAGACCCAGUUCUAUCCUCAGUACCAGAGACCCAUUUCUAGCCUCAGUACCAGAGACCCAGUUUUCUAUUCCUCAUACCAGAGACCCAGUUCUAUCCUCAGUACAGAGCCCAGUUCUACAUCAUACCAGAGACCCAGUUCUAGCCUCAGUACCAGAGACCCCGAGUUCUAUCCUCAGUACCAGAGACCCAGUUCUAUCCUCAGUUACCAGAGACCCAGUUCUAUCCUCAGUACCAGAGACCCAGUUCUAUCCUCGGUACCAGAGACCCAGUUCUAUCCUCAGUACCAGAGACCCAGUUCUAUCCUCGGUACCAGGUAGAUCAUUAUCAUAUCAUGAUGUUUUAUGGCAUUCAGAGUUCUGCAUGACACAUGAGAUUAACUCUUUGAAGAUUUUGUUUUCUCUUUUAACAACCAACAUGUUUGCCAUUAUUUUACAACCUUCCACUGUUUCAUUCCAUGUAAUGAUAUGAUGAUUUCUCUAGGCCAUAAUAUUCUGUUUCCCUCUCUCAAGGGAUUAUAUGUAUUCAUGGCAGACAACAGUAGAGAAUAUGAAUCCACAGACAUGUCAUAAUAAUAUUAUUAUAACACUUGAUUGUGGUUUGCUAUCAAUCAAUAAUGAAUUGAUUGGUGGUUAAGACAUUAACAUAACACUGGACUCUAGUUUAUACUUUGAUAAAUCAUGUGUUCAUUUCAUCAGUUAUUUCUCUGCCACACACUGACUAUUGAUAGAAUAUCCUACCACUCCUACAGAACAGAUUCAAGGUAAAUGGGUCAUUUUCUAUGGCAUCGGCACACCACAUAGGAGAUUUAUCUACUGUUCAUGGUGUUCGCAUGUAUUUAUGCUGAACCAAUCAGAAACCUGGUAGGAGGAGCUAUAUGUAACCAUGGUCCUGAAUACAUUCAUGUACUCCGUCUAUUCAUGGCAGCAGCUCUACUCAACACAGUUAUGGAUUCUUUGAGGUGCAUUUUGGAGACACACUAUUUAUUUUCCUUCCAAUAUUAUCACACAUAUUUAUGAAAUGUAAUAUGGUGUAUUAUGUUGAUAUUAAUGUUGUUGUUUUAGUCAUUGACAGAAUAAGCCCUUGAUUCUGUUGUUGGCCGGGUGUCUGUUGUUGGCCGGGUGAGUCUAUAUUUAGGGCUGGAAGGAAGGAGAAAUCUGUAGCAGCCAUGAUACAUAUGAUGCACUGGUUUCGUCCCAAAUGGCAUCCUAUUCCCUAUAUAGUCCCCAUGGGCCCUCGUCAAAUGUAGUGCACUAAACAGGGAAUAGGGUACCAUUUGGGACGUACACACAGUCAUCAUUACAAAUCCUUGUUGCUUUUCUCUAGUUGGUUAUACAGUAGUAUGUGGUUUCAGAACAAUCAGGGUACUAAUGUAUGGACACUGAAACAGGUAACAAGACAAGUAACAAGUUUAGUUGGAGCUACUAGGCUGUUCACUGUACAUUCACAUUGCCAUCUAGAAUGGGGGGGGAGGGGGUGGGACUCUGGUAUGACUUCUAUUUUAUCUGUCAGUCUGAAAUGUCAUCACCAUGUUUGUACAGUACAAAUAGCAGGAACAUAUAUUUUCUCUCUGGCCUUCGAUUAGGUUUGUUUUGAUUUGUUGUAGAAAUGGAAAAAAACAACCCUGAAACUAAGUAAUGCCUAUUCAAAUCCUGAAACUGUGAAUGGGGAUCGUGGAGAAGUCUAUGUAUAUGUUUUGAUGUAAUCAAAGAGCACUGGGAAUUAUUAUGUUGUAUUUCUCUGUAAAAACUGAACCACAUUGAUAUAACUGUACUUCUGUUGAAAUUAAAACCUCUAUAUACUGAACUGUGUUCUAAGGUCAAUGUGGACGUUCGACAGGAUAUCCUUAUCCUGUAAUGUGAUGUAAUAUCCUGUCUGUUUACUAAUCCUUCUGUUCAAAUAAGGCAAUGUCUUGUUUCCCUGUUUGUUUGCUGCUCCAGUGACUGACUGGG
rnacentral:lncRNA from 1 species